rnacentral:lncRNA from 1 species
UGAAAGAUGUCCUGAGACUCGGUGGUAAUAUCUCAGAAUAAACCAGCGGUGGACCACGGAUGAAUGGUUUACUUUAAAUCUGUGUGAAUACCAUAACCUUUUUUGGAUAAGAAAACCUCAGCUAAUACAUCUCAAACAAAAGAUCUGUCAGAGGGGAAGAAUGGAGUGGAGUCACAAGUUUGACAAAAGCAGGGAGAAGCUGGGUAAGUCAGCCUACAGCCCCACUCUGGGAAAGAAGAUGCUCUCUCUGCUCACUGGGUAGCAGUGGGUGAGCACUGAAAGAUGCAGUGCUGGGGAUGGGUACCAGCGCUCCAGGCUCCUGACCUAGUCUGUC